rnacentral:rRNA from 1 species
GACGAACGCUGGCGGCGUGCCUAAUACAUGCAAGUAGAACGCACGGUUUAUACCGUAGCUUGCUACACCAUAGACUGUGAGUUGCGAACGGGUGAGUAACGCGUAGGUAACCUGCCUGGUAGCGGGGGAUAACUAUUGGAAACGAUAGCUAAUACCGCAUAAUAUUAAUUAUUGCAUGAUAAUUAAUUGAAAGGUGCAAUUGCACCACUACCAGAUGGACCUGCGUUGUAUUAGCUAGUAGGUGAGGUAACGGCUCACCUAGGCGACGAUACAUAGCCGACCUGAGAGGGUGAUCGGCCACACUGGGACUGAGACACGGCCCAGACUCCUACGGGAGGCAGCAGUAGGGAAUCUUCGGCAAUGGACGAAAGUCUGACCGAGCAACGCCGCGUGAGUGAAGAAGGGUUUCGGAUCGUAAAGCUCUGUUGUAAGAGAAGAACGGGUGUGAGAGUGGAAAGUUCACACUGUGACGGUAUCUUACCAGAAAGGGACGGCUAACUACGUG